rnacentral:rRNA from 1 species
GACGAACGCUGGCGGCGUGCUUAACACAUGCAAGUCGAACGGAAAGGCCCUGCUUUUGUGGGGUGCUCGAGUGGCGAACGGGUGAGUAACACGUGAGUAACCUGCCCUUGUCUUUGGGAUAACUUCAGGAAACUGGGGCUAAUACCGGAUAGGAGCUCCUGCUGCAUGGUGGGGGUUGGAAAGUUUCGGCGGUUGGGGCUGGAUUGGCGGCUUAUCAGCUUGUUGGUGGGGUAGUGGCAUACCACGGCUUUGACGGGUAGCCGACAUGAGAGGGUUGACGGCGACAAUGGUACUGCGGUACGGAGCAGACUGCAACGUGAGGCAGCGGUGGGGAACAUGACGCAGCGAGCGGGAGCCAGAGACAGCGACGCCGGGUUCGUAAAGACGUCUUAUGGGGUAUAAACAGCUGUCGACUGAGACGAAGCGGGAUUGACGGUAAUGAAUAAGAAAGCACCGGCUAACUACGUG